rnacentral:rRNA from 1 species
GACGAACGCUGGCGGCGUGCUUAACACAUGCAAGUCGAACGCUGAAGCUUGGUGCUUGCGCUGGGUGGAUGAGUGGCGAACGGGUGAGUAAUACGUGAGUAACCUGCCCUUGACUCUGGGAUAAGCCUGGGAAACUGGGUCUAAUACUGGAUACGACAUGCCACUGCAUGGUGGUGUGUGGAAAGGGUUUUACUGGUUUUGGAUGGGCUCACGGCCUAUCAGCUUGUUGGUGGGGUAAUGGCCUACCAAGGCGACGACGGGUAGCCGGCCUGAGAGGGUGACCGGCCACACUGGGACUGAGACACGGCCCAGACUCCUACGGGAGGCAGCAGUGGGGAAUAUUGCACAAUGGGCGGAAGCCUGAUGCAGCGACGCCGCGUGAGGGAUGACGGCCUUCGGGUUGUAAACCUCUUUCAGCACGGAAGAAGCGAGAGUGACGGUACGUGCAGAAGAAGCGCCGGCUAACUACGUG